rnacentral:rRNA from 1 species
GACGAACGCUGGCGGCGUGCUUAACACAUGCAAGUCGAACGGAAAGGCCCUGCUUGCAGGGUGCUCGAGUGGCGAACGGGUGAGUAACACGUGGGUGAUCUGCCCCUUACUUUGGGAUAAGCCUGGGAAACUGGGUCUAAUACUGGAUAGGACCAUGCUGUAGGUGGUGUGGUGGAAAGAUUAGUUUCGGUAAGGGAUGAGCUCGCGGCCUAUCAGCUUGUUGGUGGGGUAAUGGCCUACCAAGGCGUCGACGGGUAGCCGGCCUGAGAGGGUGGACGGCCACAUUGGGACUGAGAUACGGCCCAGACUCCUACGGGAGGCAGCAGUGGGGAAUAUUGCACAAUGGGCGCAAGCCUGAUGCAGCGACGCCGCGUGGGGGGUGACGGCCUUCGGGUUGUAAACUCCUUUCAGCCAUGACGAAGCCCUUGUGGUGACGGUAGUGGUAGAAGAAGCACCGGCUAACUACGUG